rnacentral:rRNA from 1 species
GUCGAGCGAGACCUUCGGGUCUAGCGGCGGACGGGUGAGUAACGCGUGGGAACGUGCCCUUCUCUACGGAAUAGCCCCGGGAAACUGGGAGUAAUACCGUAUACGCCCUUUGGGGGAAAGAUUUAUCGGAGAAGGAUCGGCCCGCGUUGGAUUAGGUAGUUGGUGGGGUAAUGGCCCACCAAGCCGACGAUCCAUAGCUGGUUUGAGAGGAUGAUCAGCCACACUGGGACUGAGACACGGCCCAGACUCCUACGGGAGGCAGCAGUGGGGAAUCUUAGACAAUGGGGGCAACCCUGAUCUAGCCAUGCCGCGUGAGUGAUGAAGGCCUUAGGGUUGUAAAGCUCUUUCAGCUGGGAAGAUAAUGACGGUACCAGCAGAAGAAGCCCCGGCUAACUCCGUGCCAGCAC